rnacentral:misc_RNA from 1 species
GAUGAAGAACGUAGCGAAAUGCGAUACUUGGUGUGAAUUGCAGAAUCCCGUGAACCAUCGAGUCUUUGAACGCAAGUUGCGCCCGAAGCCAUCAGGUUGAGGGCACGUCUGCCUGGGCGUCACAUAUCGUUGCCCAAUGCCUAUUGCAGUGCAAUAGGAAUUUCUAGGGCGAAUGAUGGCUUCCCGUGAGCGUUGUUGCCUCGCGGUUGGUUGAAAAUCGAGUCCUUGGUAGGGUGUGCCAGGGUAGAUGGUGGUCGAGUUAGAACGAUACCGAUCAUGUGCAUGCUCCCCAAAAUAUGGCCUCUAUGACCCACACGCGUCUUUUGACGCUCAUGACGAGACCUCAGGUCAGGCGGGGCUACCCGCUGAAUUUAAGCAUAUCAAUAAGCGGAGGA